rnacentral:misc_RNA from 1 species
UCAAAUAAUAUAAAAAAUAAUAUAUAUAUUGACAUGGAUUAAACAAAGAUAUAUAUUAUUYUAUGUUGUAUAAACAAAUUGGCAAAAUAGAGAUGGAAGAUAAAAAUAUGGUCAAAGUAAUAAGAGUCUAUGGUGRAUGCCUAGGAGCUUUAAGGCGAAGAAGGUCGUGGUAAGCUGCGAAAAGCUUGGGGGARAAGCAAACAUUUAUUGAUCCCAAGAUUACCGAAUGGAGUAAUCCAGCUAGCAAGAUGCUAGCUAUCUAUUAUCUAAAUAAUAGAGGCGAUACC